UACCUAAACUCCAGAUAUAGACUGGGCAGC
rnacentral:piRNA from 1 species